rnacentral:rRNA from 1 species
AUUGAACGCUGGCGGCAUGCUUUACACAUGCAAGUCGAACGGCAGCGAGGAGAAGCUUGCUUCUCUGUCGGCGAGUGGCGAACGGGUGAGUAUAGCAUCGGAACGUGCCAAGUAGUGGGGGAUAACCAAACGAAAGGUUGGCUAAUACCGCGGAAGCUCUAAGGAGGAAAGUAGGGGAGCUAAAUAAGGCCUUACGCUAUUUGAUCGGUCGAUGUCGGAUUAGCUAGUUGGUGGGGUAAUGGCUCACCUAGGCAGUGAUCCGUAGCGGGUCUGAGAGGACGAUCCGCCACACUGGGACUGAGACACGGCCCAGACUCCUACGGGAGGCAGCAGUAGGGAAUUUUCGACAAUGGGCGAAACCCUGAUCCAGCCAUGCCGCGUGUAUGAAGAAGGCCUUAGGGUUGUAAAGUACUUUUGUUAGGGAAGAACAGCUAGUUUUUAAUAAGAAUUAGUGAUGACGGUACCUAAAGAAUAAGCACCGGCUAACUACGUG